UUACGGUCAAAUCACGCUGAAACACCGGUUCUCGUACGAUCACCGAAGUUAAGCAGCGUGAAGCCAGGUCAGUACUUAGAUAGAGGGAACCGCUUGGGAACACCUGGUACUGUAAG
rnacentral:rRNA from 1 species